rnacentral:tRNA from 1 species
GGGACUGUGGCUCAGUGUUAGAGCAUCUGUUUUGCAUGCAGAAGAUCCAUGGUUCAAUUCCCAAGGCUCUCA